rnacentral:lncRNA from 1 species
CUUAAAUGAUGAGUGUUGUUUCCAGGGUCCUCAAUAUGUUUUCCAGACUUUGAAAUAAUUAAUGCCAAGUUAGGAGGAGUGAUGUUUAGCUUAGUCAGCCAAACUGGAUUGCAGCUCAGUGCACAUUACUCUGUUAUAGCUAUAGGAAGCUACCUUACUGCAUAGAAUUUGGUAUAUGUGAAAGUUUUCUUGACAACUUGAUCAUUAUUUCAAAGCCUUUGAAGCACAGUUUGAGUCCAGUUUUCUUAAUUUCUUCUCAAGUUCAGAUUCUAUCCACUUGGCAUUAAGUUGAAAUAGCAGAGCAGAUGUUAAUC